GCGAGAGUGGCGGAAUUGGCAGACGCGCCGGACUUAGGAUCCGGUGCCCAUGGGCGUGAGGGUUCGAGUCCCUUCUCUCGCA
rnacentral:tRNA from 1 species